GAUAAACGCUGGCGGCGCACAUAAGACAUGCAAGUCGAACGGAAGUCGUUAUAAAAAGGAUUGAAGAUUUAUCUGAUUGAUAUUUAUAACAAUGGCUUUAGUGGCGGACUGGUGAGUAACACGUAAGCAACCUGCCUGUUAGAGGGGAACAACAGUUAGAAAUGACUGCUAAUACCGCAUAUGCCAUAGCAAGGACAUCCUUGCAGUGGGAAAGGAGAAGUCCGCUAACAGAUGGGCUUGCGUCUGAUUAGAUAGUUGGUGGGUAACGGCCUACCAAGUCGACGAUCAGUAGCCGGACUGAGAGGUUGAACGGCCACAUUGGGACUGAGAUACGGCCCAGACUCCUACGGGAGGCAGCAGUCGGGAAUAUUGCGCAAUGGAGGAAACUCUGACGCAGUGACGCCGCGUGCAGGAAGAAGGUUUUCGGAUUGUAAACUGCUUUAGACAGGGAAGAAAAAAGACAGUACCUGUAGAAUAAGCUCCGGCUAACUACG
rnacentral:rRNA from 1 species